rnacentral:rRNA from 1 species
UACGUAGGUGGAAAGCGUUGUGCGGAUUUACUGGGAGUAAAGGGCGUGUAGGCGGGAAAUUAAGUCAAAUGUGAAAGUCCAUGGCUCAACUGUGGGAGUGCAUCUGAAACUGAUUUUCUUGAGUACUGGAGAGGAAAGCGGAAUUCCAAGUGUAGCGGUGAAAUGCGUAGAGAUUUGGAGGAACACCAGUGGCGAAGGCGGCUUUCGGGACAGUAACUGACGAUGAGGCGCGAAAGCUUGGGGAGCAAACAGG